rnacentral:rRNA from 1 species
CAAGUCGAGCGGCAGCACGAGUAGUUUACUACUUGGUGGCGAGCGGCGGACGGCUGAGUAACGCGUGGGAACAUGCCCCAAAGUGAGGAAUAACUGCCCGAAAGGGUAGCUAAUGCCGCAUAUGAUCUUCGGACUAAAGGAUUUAUCCGCUUUGGGAGUGGCCUGCGUACGAUUAGAUAGUUGGUGAGGUAAAGGCUCACCAAGUCGACGAUCGUUAACUGGUUUGAGAGGAUGAUCAGUCAGACUGGAACUGGGACACGGUCCAGACUCCUACGGGAGGCAGCAGUAAGGAAUCUUCCACAAUGGACGAAAGUCUGAUGGAGCAACUCCGCGUGCAGGAUGAAGGCCUUUCGGGUCGUAAACUGCUUUUAUGAGUGAAGAAUAUGACGGUAACUCAUGAAUAAGGGUCGGCUAACUACGUGCCAGCAGCCGCGGUCAUACGUAGGACCCAAGCGUUAUCCGGAGUGACUGGGCGUAAAGAGUUGCGUAGGUGGUUUGUUAAGCGAAUAGUGAAAUCUGGCGGCUCAACCGUACAGACUAUUACUCGAACUGGCAAACUCGAGAAUGGUAGAGGUAACUGGAAUUUCUGAAGUAGGGGUAAUAUCCGUAGAUAUCAGAAGGAACACCAAUGGCGUAGGCAGGUUACUGGACCAUUUCUGACACUGAGGCACGAAAGCGUGGGGAGCGAACCGGAUUAGAUACCCGGGUAGUCCACGCCGUAAACGAUGGAUACUAGCUGUUGGAGGUAUCGACCCCUUCAGUAGCGAAGCUAACGCGUUAAGUAUCCCGCCUGUGGAGUACGGUCGCAAGACUAAAACAUAAAGGAAUUGACGGGGACCCGCACAAGCGGUGGAUUAUGUUCUUUAAUUCGAUGAUAAACGAAGAACCUUACCAGGGUUUGACAUCCUUGGAAUUACUACGAAAGUAGUGAGUGCUUUAUUGAGCCAAGUGACAGAUGUUGCAUGGCCGUCGUCAGCUCGUGUCGUGAGAUGUUUGGGUUAAGUCCAUCAACGAGCGCAACCCUUGUGAAUAGUUGUAUUUUUCUAUUCAGACUGCCCCGGUAACGGGGAGGAAGGAGGGGAUGAUGUCAGGUCAGUAUUACUCUUACAUCCUGGGCUAGAAACGUAAUACAAUGGCCGGUACAAUGCGCUGCGAAGCCGCGAGGUGAAGCAAAUCGCAUCAAAGCCGGUCCCAGUUCGGAUUGGAGGCUGAAACUCGCCUCCAUGAAGUCGGAAUCGCUAGUAAU